GACAGAGGCCUCGAGCGUUAGGCGGAAUCACUGGGCUUAAAGCGUGUGUAGGCGGAUCGUUAAGUGUCUUGUGAAAUCCCACGGCUCACCCGUGGAACUGCUGGGCAUACUGGCGAUCUUGGGCCAACUAGGGGCAACUGGAACAAGCGGUGGAGCGGUGAAAUGCGUAGAUAUCGCUUGGAACGCCAAAGGUGAAAACAGGUUGCUGGGGUUGUGCCGACGCUGAGACACGAAAGCCAGGGGAGCAAACGGG
rnacentral:rRNA from 1 species